rnacentral:rRNA from 1 species
CCUACGGGUGGCAGCAGUGAGGAAUAUUGGUCAAUUGACGAGAGUCUGAACCAGCCAAGUAGCGUGAAGGAUGACUGCCCUAUGGGUUGUAAACUUCUUUUAUAUGGGACUAAAAUGUUCCACGUGUGGGAUUUUGUAUGUACCAUAUGAAUAAGGAUCGGCUAACUCCGUGCCAGCAGCCGCGGUAAUACGGAGGAUCCGAGCGUUAUCCGGAUUUAUUGGGUUUAAAGGGAGCGUAGGUGGAUUGUUAAGUCAGUUGUGAAAGUUUGCGGCUCAACCGUAAAAUUGCAGUUGAAACUGGCAGUCUUGAGUACAGUAGAGGUGGGCGGAAUUCGUGGUGUAGCGGUGAAAUGCUUAGAUAUCACGAAGAACUCCGAUUGCGAAGGCAGUUCACUGGACUGCAACUGACACUGAGGCUCGAAAGUGUGGGUAUCAAACAGGAUUAGAUACCCUUGUAGUC